rnacentral:rRNA from 1 species
AGUCGAACAGAAGCAGCAGAAUUACUUCGGUAAGGACGCUGUGGAAGUUAGCGGCGGAUGGGUGAGUAACACGUGGGUAACCUACCCUUAAGACUGGGAUACCACUUGGAAACAGGUGCUAAUACCGGAUAGGAGUAUGAGCUGCAUGGCUUAUACUUUAAAGGCGGCGAAAGCUGUCACUAAAGGAUGGACCCGCGGGUGCAUUAGCU